AUUGAACGCUGGCGGCAGGCCUAACACAUGCAAGUCGAGCGAGCGGCGGACGGGGGAGUAAUGUAUGGUGACUGUCCGUAAGAGGGGGAUAACUACUGGAAACGGUAGCGAAUAUCGCGCACUACCGGAUAACCCUUAUGGGAGUAGCUAGUAGGGGAGGUAAUGGCUCACCUAGGCGACGAUCCCUAGCUGGUCUGAGAGGAUGAUCAGCCACACUGGGACUGAGACACGGCCCAGACUCCUACGGAGGCAGCAGUGGGGAAUAUUGCACAAUGGGCGCAAGCCUGAUGCAGCCAUGCCGCGUGUAUGAAGAAGGCCCUAGGGUUGUAAAGUACUUUCAGUCGGGAGGCGUUACCGACAGAAGAAGCACCGGCUAACUCCGUGCCAGCCGCCGCGGUAAUUC
rnacentral:rRNA from 1 species